rnacentral:rRNA from 1 species
AAGCCAGGCAGUGAAUGGCUCGGUUCGAGAAGCCUAUGAAGGACGUGGCAAGCUGCGAUAAGCUUGGGCGAGGUGCAUGCAGCCUUUGAGCCCAAGAUUUCCUAAUGCGACUUCGUAGGUCGUUUCGACGACCUGUACAAUUCUUUGUACGGGAACGCGGUGAAUUGAAACAUCUUAGUAGCCGUAGGAAAAGAAACCAACUGGGAUUCCCUUAUUAGCGGCGAGCGGACGGGGAACACGCGCAAACUGAACGCAUGUCUGAGAAGACUUGUGGAUGUGGUUUGGCCGUCAUUGGAUCCAAGUAGAUAAGUUGAAUUCUUUGCUGGAAAGCAGAACCAUAGAGAGUGAUAGUCUCGUAUACAAACACUACACCGAUCUUAGACGUGCCAAGAGUAGCAUGGGUUGGAAAUCCUGUGUGAAUAUAGGAGGCACUUACCCUUUUCUAACGCAAAAUACUUCUCGAAUCCGAUAGCGUACUAAGUACUGUGAAGGAACGCUGAAAAGUACUCUUCGAAGGAGGCUUAAAAGAACCUGAAACUGUUCGGUCGUAGGCUAGACAUGGCGUUCAAGCGUCGAUGACUAACAAAGAACUUUCCGAGAGGUCCUAGUAUGAAUUAGUCGGAGCAGCGUUAUGUCAUCCGUUUUGAAAAACGGGGCAGGGAGUUUGCCGCCGUGGCGAGGCUAACCACCGAUUCGGUGGGGAGUCACAGCGAAAGCAAGAAGACCGCAGCACGCUUUGCGUGUGAGGGUCCUCGUGUUAACGCGCGAGAAGUCACCGCGGCAUUAUCCGAAACCGGUCGAUCCUGGCCUGGCUAGGGUGAAGCGGCGCGAAAGCUCCGUGGAGGCCCGUAGAGUUGCUGCGAUACAAGCGCUCUCGUGAGCUGGGUCAAGGGGUGAAAUGUCAAUCGAGAUCGGUAAUGGCUGGUUCCACUCGAAAUGGAUCGAAGUCCAACCUUCGACGAGACUGCUUGCGAGGUAAAGCUACUGAUUCUGACUGUCUGUAGGCUCUGCCUACAGAAUCGGAGUCAAACUCUGAACUCUCAAGCGUCGUAGACUCGAGGAGUGAGGGCUGAUGCGUAAGGUAUCAGUCCGAGAGGGAAACAACCCAGAGAAAGGUUAAGGCCCCCAAUUCCUGACUAAGUGCACAUGAAGGGCGUUUCGGUUCUCAGACAGCGGGGAGGUUAGCUUAGAAGCAGCUACCCUUUAAAGAUAGCGUAACAGCUCACCCGUUGAGAACUGAAGCACCGUAAAUGGACGGGGCUCAAGUCAGGAGCCGAGACCUUUCCAUCGAUUUAUUCGAUGGGUAGAGUGGCGUUCCGCAGGGACAGAAGCAUGGCCGUGAGGUCGUGUGGACCGUGUGGAAACGAGAAUCCUGCCGGCAGUAUCAGCGAAAGAGAUGUGUGAAUCAUCUCCGCCGCAAGAGGAAGGGUUCCUCAGCAAUGAUUAUCAACUGAGGGUUAGUCGGUCCUAAACCAAUUCGUAAUUCGCAAUUGGUGAACAGGCAAUCAGGUUAAUAUUCCUGAACCUCCUCACAUUUUCUGACGUUUUGGGAUAACAGACGCUGCGUUUUCGCGCAGUCUAAGCAGAUAAUAUGUGCGAGCGUAAUGCAUAGACCACAUGAAUCUGUGAAUGUCCUGGGAAUAAUCCCGGGAGUCUGUGAUUCCUGGAACCCUUGAAAAGGUGUGAGAGACCGUACCAAGAACCAGCACAGGUCCUCUGGCUGAGUAGGCUUAGGCGUUCGGGUGCAACUCGACUUAGGGAAUUCGGCAAUCUAGCUCCGUACCUUCGGUAUAUGGAGUGCCUAUCGUCUCGUUACGAUAGGUUGCAAUUACAUGGGGAGCUCGACUGUUUACUAAAAACAUAGCCGACUGCUAGUCCGAAAGGAUUUGUAUAGUCGGCGACUCUUGCCCAGUGCCAGUACCUGAAACCUCCGUCCAAGGAGCAGAAGGGCUGGUAAACGGCGGCGGUAACUAUGACCGUCUUAAGGUAGCGUAGUCCCUUGCCAAUUAAUUGUUGGCCCGCAUCAAUAGAGGAACGAGGCUCCUGCUGUCCCAAGUCGUGGCCCGGUGAACCCGCUGUACCGGCGCAUAAGCCGGUGACUCCCAGUGGGAAGCGAAGACCCUGUGAACCUUUACUGCAGUCUGACGUUGCGGUGGGGUUCCAUGUGUGAAGUGUAGAUAGAAGACAUUACAGAGGUGCAUACGCCAGUAUGUCGCCCAGUCGCCAAUGGGACACUAUCCACGUGGAACCCUGCUGCUUACUUCUACGGAAGGACAGCGUUAGCUGGGCAGUUUAGCUGGGGCGGCAUCCCUCUGAUAACGAAUCAGAGGGGUUCAAAGGUAUGCUCAAGUCGGUCAGAAAUCGACUGUAGAGGACAAAGCCAAAUGCAUGCCUGACUGGAUUCCUGAUAGUAGGGGAUCUAGGCGCGAAAGCGUGACUUAGCGAACGCCUUUAGCCAAUAAGUGAGGCUUAGGCCUGACAAAAAAGGUACUCCAGGGAUAACUGGAUUGUCUGGGGCGCGAGCUCAUAUCGACCCCCAGGCUUGUUACUUCGAUGUCGGCUCUCCGUAUCCUGGCUGUGCAACCGCAGCCAAGGGUGAGGGUGUUCACCUAUUAAAACGGAUCGUGAGCUGGGUUUAGAUCGGCGUGAGCCAGAUCUGUUGCUAUCUGCUGGGAGUGUUUGUGGUUUGAGAGGAAAGUCCGGACAGUACGAAAGGAACCCUGGACUGAAGCCUCUGGUGUAUCUGUUGUCCGAAAGGGCAAAUGCAGAGUAGCCACGCUUCACAGUUGUAAGAGCUGAAAGCAUCUAAGCUCGAAAGACUCCUCAAAAAGAAACCGCAUCCACUCUCAUACAAGAUGAGUUGAUAGAGUGGCGGUGUAAGAUCCAAGGCAACGAGGAUUUCAGCCGACCACUACUAAUCGUGGGUUCUAAUCUA